rnacentral:rRNA from 1 species
AUUGAACGCUGGCGGCAGGCCUAACACAUGCAAGUCGAGCGGAUGAGUGGAGCUUGCUCCAUGAUUCAGCGGCGGACGGGUGAGUAAUGCCUAGGAAUCUGCCUGGUAGUGGGGGACAACGUUUCGAAAGGAACGCUAAUACCGCAUACGUCCUACGGGAGAAAGUGGGGGAUCUUCGGACCUCACGCUAUCAGAUGAGCCUAGGUCGGAUUAGCUAGUUGGUGAGGUAAAGGCUCACCAAGGCGACGAUCCGUAACUGGUCUGAGAGGAUGAUCAGUCGCACUGGAACUGAGACACGGUCCAGACUCCUACGGGAGGCAGCAGUGGGGAAUAUUGGACAAUGGGCGAAAGCCUGAUCCAGCCAUGCCGCGUGUGUGAAGAAGGUCUUCGGAUUGUAAAGCACUUUAAGUUGGGAGGAAGGGCAGUAAGUUAAUACCUUGCUGUUUUGACGUUGCCAACAGAAUAAGCACCGGCUAACUUCGUGCCAGCAGCCGCCGUAAUAC